AUUGUGGUGAUGGUUUUGCAGGGGUAUAAAUAGAUCAAAGUUAUCAAAUUGUAUUCUUUAGUCUAUGUCAGUUACACCUCAACAGAGUUGUUAGAAAAUAAAUGCAAAAUAUCAUGAUUACCAGGUUUAUGCUAAUAUGUGCAUAAUUAGAGAAAAACAUCAUUUUUCACAUGUUUAUCUUAUCCCUAAAGGUCAUGACCCAGCUUCAGAGAUCAACAGCAAAAAUCCAGGAUAACAUUGUGUCUGUUAGAAAGUUCAGGAUUCUGGGAAAUCGUCAAGGUUUUAUAUUUAGGGUACCAGAAUCACAGAAUCAGGAAUUGGUACCCACAGAGGAGAACCUGAUUGAGCGGAAUUGUAAUAAGCUGCUGGUCAUCCCUCUCUGACUGGAGACAAGUCACCUUGGACCACAUUUUGAUUUUCAGGAAAGAGUCACUUGCCAGGCUUUUUCUAGUUUUAUUACUGUGAAGUAAGCUGACAGUUAUUACCUUGAGGAUAAAAUGUGACAGAGCCUUCACUGAUUAGUCUGACAAAGACAACUUCUUUCAAUAACCUUACAUAAGUGGACCUUGCCUGCAGAAAAAUAUUGGCAAAAUUAUGGCAGAGCAUCCUAUAAUGAAAGUGAUUGAGAUCCCAGUUCCUUUGUUUUGUUAAGUCUCUAAUGGAUGAAGACAGUCUCCACUGAGGCUUAUCAGCACUGAGAAUACCACUAGUCCUCAAGAAAAACUUUCAGGAAAGGUAGAGGUUUUCUGAACCAGAAAACUGGUUUAACAACAUAGGAAGUUACUAGGGAAAAGGCUUGUUUAGGCAUAUCAUAAAUCCAUGUGUCAAACCUCUGUGUCUUGUCACAGAGGCAUGGCAAUGCCUGUGAGUAUAAAUUCAAAGAGCUGAAGUGUUAGGAGACCAAAAGUAGAGUGACUGUUGGCAUGCAUAAUAUGGAAGACAUUGUCCUUACUAAAAGGUCACAGAGAGCUGCAUAGGGAGCUGGACCAGCAAGACAAUUGUCCCAGUAUUGGGUAGGAAUUCCCUGAACAGCACAACGAUGAUCAAAACAAUGGCAAAUGAAAUCCAAGCGACACUAUUCACUUUUCACCCAGUGUGUGCAAGUAGGAGUGGCUGCUUUGGCAACAAUCUGCUGCAUUUCUAGGAGCAUCUGAGGAAAAGGUGCCCAGGGUUGCAGACUGUGGUGGUUCUCCUGGAACCUAUCCUGGAUAUCACACUAGUUCUGGUAGGUCAUGUGAAUAAUGUAACUAUUUUAAAACAUGUGAUUUUAUAUAUAUAGCCUACAAGGAUGAAUUUAUUUUAUUGUUGUUCCCAAUAUUUCCUUCCUUAUAAGAGGAUUAUACCUUCCUAUCAUUUCAAUAUCAGUCUUGACCAUAUCACUUG
rnacentral:lncRNA from 12 species